GGGGGGGCGAAAUCACUGUAAUUGGGGGAUUUUCUUUUUUCUUAUUUUCUUUUGGUUAAAACCGAAUUUUCUGUAAAGAAGAACGACCUCUUCUUUUUUACGAACAUCAGAAAUAAAAACAAAAAAAAGACUUUUAAAGUUUUUAGAUUCGCGUUUUUUUCUUUUUCUGUCCAUUUUUCUUUUUAUUUUUUUAUACUAAAU
rnacentral:lncRNA from 1 species